GCGUGGAAGGACUAGAAAAAAACACAAUUGCUUCCAGUACUUUGAAGACCUACCAAGCAACUUAGGAGGCCUGAGAGAGGUAUCUGGAGUCUCGGUUCAUAGAGGGUCUAGUACUACUCCUGACCAUUUGUACCUGAAUGCAACAGAAUGUCAUAGUUACACUUGCUGCUUGCAAUCCAGUUUGAUUUCAUUCCUUCACUCCAUAUACCUCUGAUGAAACCGCCCCCUUUAAAGGUGGAGAAACGCAUCAGGUGUUUGCAAUUACGACUUUGAACGCAGGUGGAACGCAGCCGGAAGCCCCGAACCCAGAAGUCGCAGAACACGGCCGCAAUCAAGCAUCCCUUGAAGCUCCAGACUUUGCUGCUCAGCUGUGCCUUACCCUGAGAUACACGUGGCACCUACCAGCAAAUGGCACCGCUAACAAGCCUCAGGAAGUGGCAUGUAUGGAAGCCAUUGCAGAGCGGCAACAAUACCUCAGCAAGUGAGUGAGGAUUCCUUCCCUCCCCUUCACGGCUGACACAUACGCUGUGGAAACUUUUCAUUGACAGGACCCACUGUGCUCACCAUAUUGCUGGACAGUCCACACCUUCAGCUUCAAAUUGGUGAAGUAUAUUAAGUUACUGCUAAGCAAGAACUGCAUCUACUAACACUAUUGAACACCAGUUGCUUUAGUUGUCUGUGGCCACUAACAGCCGGCUUAUGCAUGCAAUUCAUUUCAUAUAUUACUAGCAUUGUGCACUAACCAGCAAGUCCAGAGAUAAAAGGACACGUGUCCAAUAUUUUUAAUGUUUCUAUGUUGUGUUGCUUGAAUUUUAAAGUGGUAUCACACUUGUGUAGAAUUUUAUAAUUAAAAUUGUAUUACUACAAAA